UGCUCAGAGCCAGCGCAUUUGGUCCGAGGGUGAAUGGUCAAGAUUUUCAUGGCUUAGUGAAGAGCUUCAUGAAAUAAGUGAGCCCAAAGAGGAUGAGAGGAGGAAGAAAGACAUCACAUCUUUGAACUCAAACCUGCGUUAGUGACGCUCAGGCUGUUUGUUGGGAGCGGUGCACAAGCCCCCUGCUCCGCUGGGCCCGCGGCGUGCCUGCGUCUGCCUCUCUGCACCCUGCAGCGCGGCCAGCAGGGAGCGCACCCGGGAACCCCCAAGAGUUCCCGUUUUCACUUCUUUGCAGGAUGGUAAUGGAUCAUGGACGUGCAAAACAAAACAAACUUGGAGAGCUUCAGAAUAACCUUGGAAAGUAGGCUUGGGACUAGACGUGAAGCUGCCAUCUUGCAUACAUGAAAGCCAUCAUGAGGAAGGAUGUCAGUGGCUCACAAUGAAAGGACGAAGGCACCAGAGCAGCUCAAGGCGCUGGGGAUAUUCUGCUGCUGCUGCGCCAGCCUGGGAUGGCCCAUCUCUGCACACCCGGCAUGUGAGGAAAGUUCAUUCACGUUUGGUUAAGCCACCAUAGCAGGGUUUCCAUAAAAGCAAUGAUCAUUUCAUCAUAUCUAACAAAAAUUAGAAGCAUCAAUGCUAUCAAGAAAUAUUUGAAAUAUGUCUUAUUUAAUGAUG
rnacentral:lncRNA from 1 species